rnacentral:sRNA from 1 species
AGUGGGCAGGAGGCCGGAGAGAAAGCCGCAGCUUCCUUCCACCUCGCGCCGGGCCCGCGGCCGCGCACGGGGACCGCUCCGAGUUCCUCCCGGCGGGAACCCCCCGCCCCAGAACUUUGGUCUCGUCCCACCCACCCCCGCCCGCGCCAUGGUCUCGCCCUAGGGAGCCUCGAUAACUCUACGCUCGGCCUCGAUCGACUCGCUCCGGCUCCCCUCGCCGUCCUGGACACGGCGGAGUGCGGAGCCGCCCGUAAGCUCUAGGGCCCGUGCAGGCCACACCAUGAACACCUCCCCAGGCACGGUGGGCAGUGACCCGGUCAUCCUGGCCACUGCAGGCUACGACCACACCGUGCGCUUCUGGCAGGCCCACAGCGGCAUCUGCACCCGGACGGUGCAGCACCAGGACUCCCAGGUGAAUGCCUUGGAGAUCACACCGGACCGCAGCAUGAUUGCUGCUGCAGGUAUCUGUGACCCUUGAUCUCUAAACUCCUGAGCUCUGGUGGGUCGACCUGAGCACAGCCAAGCUUCAGUUCAGCCUGUGUCCCUAGGUUACCAGCACAUCCGCAUGUAUGAUCUCAACUCCAAUAACCCUAACCCCAUCAUCAGCUACGACGGCGUCAACAAGAACAUCGCGUCUGUGGGCUUCCACGAAGACGGCCGCUGGAUGUACACGGGCGGCGAGGACUGCACAGCCAGGAUCUGGGACCUCAGGUCCCGGAACCUGCAGUGCCAGCGGAUCUUCCAGGUGAACGCACCCAUUAACUGCGUGUGCCUGCACCCCAACCAGGCAGAGCUCAUCGUGGGUGACCAGAGCGGGGCUAUCCACAUCUGGGACUUGAAAACAGACCACAACGAGCAGCUGAUCCCUGAGCCCGAGGUCUCCAUCACGUCCGCCCACAUCGAUCCCGACGCCAGCUACAUGGCAGCUGUCAAUAGCACUGGAAACUGCUAUGUCUGGAAUCUGACGGGGGGCAUUGGUGACGAGGUGACCCAGCUCAUCCCCAAGACCAAGAUCCCUGCCCACACGCGCUACGCCCUGCAGUGUCGCUUCAGCCCCGACUCCACGCUCCUCGCCACCUGCUCGGCUGAUCAGACGUGCAAGAUCUGGAGGACGUCCAACUUCUCCCUGAUGACGGAGCUGAGCAUCAAGAGCGGCAACCCCGGGGAGUCCUCCCGCGGCUGGAUGUGGGGCUGCGCCUUCUCGGGGGACUCCCAGUACAUCGUCACUGCUUCCUCGGACAACCUGGCCCGGCUCUGGUGUGUGGAGACUGGAGAGAUCAAGAGAGAGUAUGGCGGCCACCAGAAGGCUGUUGUCUGCCUGGCCUUCAAUGACAGUGUGCUGGGCUAGCCUGUGACCCCUCGGGACUGCCUGGUGCAGGUGGUGGCAGCUGGAGGGACCCAUGCAGCACCCAGGUCAGAGCAGACCCUCCCCUGCCGGCCUGCGCCAGCUGGACCUGAUGGCCCCCUGUGGUGCCUUGACCUGCUGGGCCAGGCUGCCCUGGGACUCUCAGCCCCCAGUUGCUUAUCCAGAUGUGACAGAGCUCGACCCAAGCCAGGCUGCACACUCCUGGACUGGGCUAGCCUGCACUGCCUGGGAAAGUCGGCCGAGGGCCCAAAGCUGCUGAGGGGUCUGAGGCUGGUGCCCACCCCCAAGCUAGUGCGUUCUCUGCCCCUCCCUGCCCGCGUUUCAGGGCCUCGGUCCAUAGAGAACACCACCACCAUGGCCAGGUGGAAGGGUUUAUUAGUCCCUGCCGGCAGCUGUCCUCCCUGGUGCAGGUGGCCUGGCCAGCCCACUGGAUUGGGGACGGACGGGCCAGGCUGGGCCAGGUCGGGGGCUCAGUCUGGGAGGUAAUAAAAGCAGACCGACA